rnacentral:lncRNA from 1 species
UGGGAGCCUGCUUUCUGCCAGUCUUGAGGUUCUGAAGAUCAGCUUUGAAAGGAAAGUAUGUCCUAGCUUAGCCAUUCAGAAGAGAAAAAUGGAAUAUCAGAGUUACAGUUGUCAGUGAAACUACUUUGGAUUUUAACCUCUUAGAGGAAGAAAAAAGGUUAGGGAAGUGUCAACUCUGGAUGAAGGUGAUGUGUUUGCCUCUCAGUCUUUCAUUCAUAGCCUGCUAGUGAAAAGGAAGUAAAUGAGAUUCUUUUGUGUGACUUUGUAGUCUCUUUGUAUUACCAAAUAGUUGGGGUGUUGACUCCUGUGUGUUUUGCAAGAAUGUGUGGUAAGCCUGGGUAAAGAGAAGGAACUGCGGUGUUGGGAGAGUCUUUGUGUUGGGGAGUGGCAGGGGAUGAUUUGUUUCAGGGGAAAAUGCCCACAUUUUAACUUUUAAACUUCUGAAUAAACUGUGUAAAAACAGU